rnacentral:rRNA from 1 species
AGUGAACGCUGGCGGUAGGCCUAACACAUGCAAGUCGAACGGCAGCACAGUAAGAGCUUGCUCUUACGGGUGGCGAGUGGCGGACGGGUGAGGAAUACAUCGGAAUCUACUUUUUCGUGGGGGAUAACGCAGGGACACUUACGCUAAUACCGCAUACGACCUACGGGUGAAAGCAGGGGAUCUUCGGACCUUGCGCGAUCGAAUGAGCCGAUGUCGGAUUAGCUAGUUGGCGGGGUAAAGGCCCACCAAGGCGACGAUCCGUAGCUGGUCUGAGAGGAUGAUCAGCCACACUGGAACUGAGACACGGUCCAGACUCCUACGGGAGGCAGCAGUGGGGAAUAUUGGACAAUGGGCGCAAGCCUGAUCCAGCCAUACCGCGUGGGUGAAGAAGGCCUUCGGGUUGUAAAGCCCUUUUGUUGGGAAAGAAAAGCAGCAGGUUAAUACCCCGCUGUUCUGACGGUACCCAAAGAAUAAGCACCGGCUAACUUCGUG